rnacentral:rRNA from 2 species
GUUGACCUCGGAUCAGGUAGGAAUACCCGCUGAACUUAAGCAUAUA